GGGCCUAUAGCUCAGUUGGUUAGAGCACCUGACUCAUAAUCAGUAGGUCGUAGUUUCGAGUCCUACUGGGCCCACCA
rnacentral:tRNA from 1 species